UACAGAGGUCUCAAGCGUUGUUCGGAUUCAUUGGGCGUAAAGGGUGCGUAGGUGGCGCCGGUAAGUCGGGUGUGAAAUUUCGGAGCUUAACUCCGAAACUGCAUUCGAUACUGCGGUGCUUGAGGACUGGAGAGGAGACUGGAAUUCAUGGUGUAGCAGUGAAAUGCGUAGAGAUCAUGAGGAAGACCAGUGGCGAAGGCGGGUCUCUGGACAGUUCCUGACACUGAGGCACGAAGGCCAGGGGAGCAAACGGG
rnacentral:rRNA from 1 species